rnacentral:rRNA from 1 species
AUCGCUCAACGGAUAAAAGGUACUCCGGGGAUAACAGGCUGAUACCGCCCAAGAGUUCAUAUCGACGGCGGUGUUUGGCACCUCGAUGUCGGCUCAUCACAUCCUGGGGCUGAAGUAGGUCCCAAGGGUAUGGCUGUUCGCCAUUUAAAGUGGUACGCGAGCUGGGUUUAGAACGUCGUGAGACAGUUCGGUCCCUAUCUGCCGUGGGCGCUGGAGAACUGAGGGGGGCUGCUCCUAGUACGAGAGGACCGGAGUGGACGCAUCACUGGUGUUCGGGUUGUCAUGCCAAUGGCACUGCCCGGUAGCUAAAUGCGGAAGAGAUAAGUGCUGAAAGCAUCUAAGCACGAAACUUGCCCCGAGAUGAGUUCUCCCUGAGACUUUAGGUCUCCUGAAGGAACGUUGAAGACGACGACGUUGAUAGGCCGGGUGUGUAAGCGCAGCGAUGCGUUGAGCUAACCGGUACUAAUGAACCGUGAGGCUUAACCUUAC